rnacentral:rRNA from 1 species
CGAAAGCCUGACGGAGCAAUACCGCGUGAGGGAAGAAGGCUUUUGGGUUGUAAACCUCUUUUGUCAGGGAAGAAGAAUUGACGGUACCUGAAGAAAAAGCAUCGGCUAACUCCGUGCCAGCAGCCGCGGUAAUACGGAGGAUGCAAGCGUUAUCCGGAAUCAUUGGGCGUAAAGGGUCCGCAGGUGGCGAAUAAAGUCUGCUGUUAAAGACCGGGGCUUAACUCCGGAAAGGCAGUGGAAACUGAUUAGCUAGAGUAAGGUAGGGGUAGAGGAAAUUCCCAGUGUAGCGGUGAAAUGCGUAGAUAUUGGGAAGAACACCGGUGGCGAAAGCGCUCUACUAGGCCGAAACUGACACUGAGGGACGAAAGCUAGGGUAGCGAAAGGGAUUAGAUACCCCUGUAGUCUUAGCGGUAAACGAUGGAUACUAGGUGUAGCUUGUAUCGACCCGAGCUGUGCCGAAGCUAACGCGAUAGGCAUCCCGCCUGGGGAGUACGCACGCAAGUGUGAAACUCAAAGGAAUUGACGGGGGCCCGCACAAGCGGUGGAGUAUGUGGUUUAAUUCGAUGCAACGCGAAGAACCUUACCAGGGCUUGACAUGUCGCGAAUCUAGCGGAAACGUUAGAGUGCCUUAGGGAAUGCGAACACAGGUGGUGCAUGGCUGUCGUCAGCUCGUGUCGUGAGAUGUUGGGUUAAGUCCCGCAACGAGCGCAACCCUCGUCCUUAGUUGCCAAUAUUAAGUUAGGCACUCUAGGGAGACUGCCGGGGACAACUCGGAGGAAGGUGGGGAUGACGUCAAGUCAGCAUGCCCCUUACGUCCUGGGCUACACACGUACUACAAUGGUUGGGACAAAGGGCAGCAAGCUCGCGAGAGUAAGCGAAUCUCAUCAAACCCAGCCACAGUUCAGAUUGCAGGCUGCAACUCGCCUGCAUGAAGUAGGAAUCGCUAGUAAUCGCAGGUCAGCAUACUGCGGUGAAUUCGUUCCCGGGCCUUGUACACACCGCCCGUCACACCAUGGAAGCUGGCUACGCCCGAAGUCGUUACCCUAACCCGGUUUUGGGAGGGGGAUGCCGAAGGUAGAGCUAGUGACUGGGGUGAAGUCGUAACAAGGUAGCCGUACCGGAAGGUGUGGCUGGAUCACCUCCUUU